CCCUCUUCAUUCACUCUCCUCACGCCGGCGAAGGCACGCAAGUGUUCAAACGCCUACCCAUACGUAAUACUUGUAUAUAUAUAUAUAUAUAUAUUUAUUUAUUUAUUUAUUUAUUUAUUUUCAUAGUUUCUUUCUGUAGAGGGGCAUCAUCUCCCAGUAGCUUGUCUAUCCUUUCGUGCGGGUGGCUGCAUUCGCCUCGAUUGAGCGCAGUGCACCCGCUUGUCCCCUUCGCCUUUCCUUUCCUCCUCUCGCCCUUUUGUUGUUGUACUCAUCUAUCCAUGCAUGCGUGCAUACAUGCGUGUGUGAGUGGUGAGUGCGUGAUGGGCGUGUGCGCGCACGCCUGCACCCGCUUCAAACGUUAUUCUUUUUUGGCCGCCCUCACUCACUAUUUGUUUGCCUUCUUUUCGCUUGUAUUUCCGAAGACGCUGGCCGCCGUCGCGCGCCGGUCGAAUCAACAACGCUAAGGAGCGAAGGACAGAACCCUGCGGUUGAAGUCCCGUUCGCACACCUGCCCCUGCCCCCCCACCCCCUUCGCUCCCUGGCUCACUGAGUUCCGCGUCUGCGUGUACGUUGUCCGCGGCCUCCUCCUGUUUGUCGGUUGGCGUGUUGGCCCAGCGGUACAGCUAGGCGCCUUUAUUCUUUGGGGGGUAUUUCUUUGUCUUUCUUUCGGGGUCUCCUCGGUUAUCCCUAGCACACCCUCUCUGCAACCUUCCAUCUGCACAGACUCACCGACGCCGCCGGACAGAUAACGGCACGAUGCAGCUGACGAGCAAAGGCAACAGGGACGCAGCCACUCGCCAGAGUGACGGUGGCGCAAAGACUGGCGCAGUCGCCGUGGCAGCUGCAUGCCCUGAAGCCCCACCGUCCCCUCCGCUGCAUAGCUAUGUUUUUCCCACAGCGCAGGAGCUCGUCUCGCCGGCGGCGCCACUUAGUAGCAGUAAAAGUGAGGACGUGUUGGAGAUCGAGACCCCCAACCCUGUCGCCGCAGCGGCAGGCGGUUGCCGUGCCGCUGCGGAGCGCCGUGCGUCACGAGUUCGCUUCUUGCUGGCAUUGGAGCCAUUCUUUGAGCCACGCUCGGCAGAGCCGAGCGACGGGCUUUGGAACCGCGCUGACGGCGACUCCGUGUCGUUAGGCCACAGCAACGAGCUGCACCGCACGCUCUCCGUGUCUGCAGCUCAGCUGGAGCCGUACAGCGUGAUCACUAAGACCGGCGGCGUGCAUAUUUCGCGGUGGACACAGGUGCUGGCGCUGCUCCAGCGCACCGGGCAGCAGUACAUGCGCCAGAAGCUGCUCAUCAUCGCCGAGGUCGUUUCGCCGCUGCUCUUUGUCGUUCUCCUGAUCAUCCUGAACGUCGCCUUCGGCACCGAUUCCAUCCCCGAGACCGUCUUCACCGCCCCUGUCGUGUACAGCUACCAGCUGAACUUGCACGACUACAUGACGUAUAUUUGCUACAACGACACGACGCGACCGAUCAACGGGCUGCACCCGUGCGCCCACCUUGAAGUUCCCUACUCGUGCGACGGCGACGAAUCGGGAAUUCCGGUGUACGGGUUGUGCUACCUUAGCGGCUUCAAGAAACCUGCGAUGGUGGUGAAGCACUACGUAAACUCCCUCAUGGGCAUCAUCAUCUCGCUACCGUCCCUCGACUCAAUCAUCGUGCACCAGUGGAUGGCCAAGAAGGCCGGCCUGGCCAAGGACUCCCGUUCCCGCACCGCUUUGGCGGCACUCUCGAACAUCGGCAUCGGCUUGUCCGCCACGACUCGCUUCGACUCCAUCUCAUACUCGGGACUGCUGUACUUCGCCCCCGCGGCGAACACGCCGGCGGCGCUGAUCGAGUACUUUCGCAAGCACUGCGCCAUGUUCGAGUAUGUCUACGGUGGUGUCUUCGACACGGUCGAAGAGGCGCACGCAGUCAUAAAGGCCAACGGUUCAGAUGAGGUUCUCAACUCCACCUGGGGCCUGAUCAUCGUCAACGACAUUACAGAUGGCUUUGAUGUGCAAGUGCAGCUGCACAGCUCCGCGUUGCCGUCACUGUCGUCGCCGACAGUGUCGCUGGAGUUUCGCGGAGGCUUCACGUACGACGGCACCGACAUGUUCCUCGCCUCUGGCUUUCUGUCGCUGCAGCAGAUGUUGUACACGUACUUCUACGAGAGCAGGGCGGAGGCAGGAGCGCUAACCAACCUCCACAACGGCGCGGUCAGUCCGUACACGUUCAAGGAGAUCUACCCCGUCAUCGCCUCCUACCCCACCAUCGCCGCACAUACGCCGUAUCUGCUCUCGCUCUCCCCCUCUCUUGUCGCCCUCGUGAUGGUGAUGUCUCUCCUCUACCCCUUCGCUCAGGUGACCAAGCGCGUGGUGCUGGAGAAGGAACUGUGCAUCCAGGAGUCCGUCUGUAUUAUGGGGCUGAGGCGCUCCUCCCUCUGGCUGAAUUUUCUCUUGGUCAUCUUCUUCGAGUAUGUGCUCAUCUCCAUCCUUCUGACGGUGCUCCUGUGCGCCGUCGUCGCGCCGCGCUCGGACCCCUUCGCUGUCUUCAUUAUUCUGUUCGUGUACUCCCUCACUCUGAUCCCGUUGUGCGGCCUCGUCUCUGCCUUCUUGAGCCGUGCUCGCAUGGCGACGCUGGUGUCACCGCUGAUCUACUUUGUCCUCUCGAUGCCGAUCUUCGCCAUGGGCACGGCGAACCGCAGCAUCGUCAUCGGCCUGUCGCUUCUCUCCCCCACCGCACUCGCCUCACUUCUGACGGAUGUCUUCAUCGUCGAGGCGGGCGGCGGCUUUCAAAUGCACCACUUCAAAAGCCCGCACUUCAACGCCGAGCCGUACCUCAUCAUGAUCAUCCUCGCGUGCGACUGUGUCCUUUACCUGCUGCUCAUGAUCUACCUCAAUGCCGUGCUGCCGCAGGAGUGGGGUACCCGAAAGCACCCGCUCUUCUUCAUCAUCGAACCGUGGGUGUGGCUGAAGGACACCUGCGGCAUCUGUCGCAGGAAUGCUCAGCGUGGGAGUGCAUCUGAGCCUGCCUCUGAGCCGACGGGGACGACAACGGCACUAGAUGUCGUGAGGCUAACCAAGGAGCGGCACGAGAGCGGCACGGCGACGGCGACGUCACAGAAGCAGCAGCGACCCGGUGCUCUCGCCUUCGACCCCCGUAUCAGUCGCGACUCCUCGACCGACGACGAGAAGAACAUCGGUGUUCGCAUCAGUCAUCUCUGCAAGUACUUCCAGCGCAACGGCAAGCGUUUUGCGGCGGUGGACAACGUGUCGUGGAACAUGUAUCGUGGUGAGAUCGCGGUGUUGCUGGGGCCGAACGGUGCUGGAAAGUCGACGACGAUCAACAUGAUCACCGGCAUGCUAGCCGCCGACAGCGGCGACUGCUUCAUUGAAGGCCACUCGAUAACCCAGAAUGUGGCUGAAGCGCGGCACGAGAUCGGCUACUGCCCGCAGCACAACAUCCUGUGGCCUGACCUGACCUGUCGCGAGCACCUCGAGUUCUACGGCAAGAUCAAGGGGCUGCGUGGGGCCGAACUGGAGGACGCCGUCGUGGACAUUCUCCGUGCCGUCGACCUCGAGGAAAAGGUGGACGCUAUUCCAGCGCAGAUGUCGUGUGGCCAGAAGCGGAAGCUGUCCGUCGCAAUCGCCUUUGUGGGUCGCAACCGCGUCGUCCUCCUCGACGAGCCAACCGCCGGCAUGGACACGGCUGCGCGACGUCACACGUGGUCUCUUCUGCGCGCCAUGACCCAGCACCAUACGAUUAUGCUCACGACGCACUUCAUGGACGAAGCGGACCUGCUUGGUGACAACAUCGCCAUUGUGACAGAGGGUGUGCUGCAGUGCGCCGGCAGCACCGCGUUCCUGCGCCAGUAUGCUGGGGUCGGCUACACGCUUCGCUUCGAUCUCACUCCCGUCCCGGCGCAGGAGGAUGGCGAUGCGGCGCGGCAGGCCAAGGUUGCUGCGGUGUGGGCUGAGCUUCAUCAGCUCGUCAUGUCGCACCUCCCGGAUUCCACCUUGGUGCUGCAGACGGAUGCGGAGGUGGUGUACCAGCUGCGACUCAGCACCGAUGCCCGCCUGCCAGAGUUUUUGAAGGAUAUGGAGUCGCGCGGCAACCGGCAGCUGCACAUCCGCGGAUACGCGCUGCGGGCGCCGACGCUGGAGGAUGUAUUCAUGCGUGUCGUCGAGCACCAGAUUGCGCCAUCUUCACAGGUGGCAGUGGUGCGUGCGGCGGACGAGGCGGCGGCGCGAGAACAGGUCGCUGGCGAAAAAGACGGCGGCCGCACCAGCAGCGGCCCGCCUGCGGCCCCCUCGUCUCCGUUAGUGCACCAUUUUGUGAACCGCCGCAUGUCGCGGGCCUCGCUGCACUACCUCAACAACGAAUCGACGCUGAACUACGGCAACAACGCGGAGCCGAGCGAUGGCGAUGAGUACCCGAUGACGGACUUGGCGGCCGCGAGUCCCACACAACAUCAGGCACCAAGUGACGUUGUCGGCGCGAGGUCGAUGGCGGCCGCAGGACCCGACGGCGGCGACGCGGACGGGGUACAUAUCGCCGGUGUCCCCGAGAACAACAACGCGAGCGUCACGGGACUGCGGAAACGGGAGAGUCGCAGCAGAAGCCCUAACUACCACGAGAACGCCGAUGGCGCCCCGAGCUUUUCGGCCCAAUUCCCGCAGGAGGUCGUUGGCUCGGAGGACUUUUGUGCGGUGGCAAACAGGCCACUUGCCGGUCCUGCGCCGUCGGUGCGGAGGACCACCACCGCCGCACUGACGGCGCAGCAGCAGCAGCGCCAGGGAAGCACCACAACGGACGUCUCCAAUAGUGGCAUCCCCGGGGUGGCCACAGUGGCGGCUCGCGUCCACCGUCCAGACAGAGUGCCCUGCCCUCCGCUCUCAGAAGCCAUGGUGAGCGAAAGCGCCGCGCAAACAAGCGCUGCCCCCGUCCCCACCACCACCGCCGCCGCAGCAGCAGCAGCAGGGACGAACCCGAGUGUUCGCAGCGAAGCCUUCCUCUACAAGCUGGUCACCGACCAUCACCUCACCAAGGUCUGGGAGUCGCGGCAGACAUCGCAGCGCUGGCACCUCUGGGGGCUGCAGCUGCGCGGUAUGAUGUACAAGCGCUUCUUCUGCGCCAUACGCGACCCUCGCAUGCACUUCUUUCAGAUUGUCUGCCCGAUCCUCUGUAUCUUCCUGGCGAUGUCGCUGCAGCUGGUGGAGGGCGGCACCGAAGGGACGCUGUACCUCUCGCCCUCCGUUUUUGACGUGGAGUCGGCGAUGCAGGUGUCGGGCUGCACAAACUACAUGGGGGAUGUGGCGCGCAUGCACGAGUAUGGGCACAACUUUAGCAAGGUGUCCUUCAGUGACCCCAACUUCGUCAGCUCAACGGAUAUGUCCAGUGAGCUGCUUGACACGUGGUUCACUCACAGCCGCAACCGCUUCAUGAGCCUGCAGUGCGGCGACCCCGACGUACAGCUGUAUCUGACCUUCUUCUACCAGGAUGUCAUCGGCACGCGGCAAGUCAGCACGCUUCUGUACAACACGUCCUCGCGCAACAGUCUUCCGAUUGCGAUGCACAUGAUGUACGCCAUAGCGUACUUUGGCGCCCUCGGUACGAGCGCUGAUGCGGCCGCGGCCACCUACACGAUGAGCCUGACAGGGCUGCCGCAGGAUGCGAAGGCUACGCAGGCAACAAGCGCCAUCUCCAGCAUUCUCAUCGGCACUGUUUUCCUGAUCCCGCUCACAUUCCUGCCGGCUAAUCCGGUGGCGUGGGUGGCAAAGGAGUACGAGUCACGCGCGCGGCACCUGCAGACGGCCUCGGGGCUCUUCUACCUCGUUUACUGGAUCGGCAAUUUCCUGUUCGACUUCACCGCCUACGUCGUGUCCAUGAUCUUCAUCGUCGUCACCUUUCUUAUCUUCCGGCGCUGGGAGUACGUCGGCUGCGAGACGAUCGGGGCCACGAUUGCCUCCUUCUCCACGUACGGUGUUUGCUACUGCUGGUGCUCCUACAUGGUGAGUUUUGCCUUUACGGAGCACACGACGGCGCAGAUCGUCGUGCUGGGCGUGAGCUUCCUCACCGGAUUCCUGUGCGUUAUGCUGGUGUUCGUGUUGAGCCUGCUCGAAACAACGCUCUCGGCGUCGAACACGCUGCGGUGGGUCUUCCGCUUGCUGCCGCCCUACUCCAUUGGUGAGGUGAUCCUCAACCUGGCGCUGCUGGAGCAGAAGAAGAUGACGGACCCGUCCUUGGCCGCGUGGAGCAUGUCCAUCACAGGCUGGCCUGUCAUCUACAUGGCCGUCGAGGCCCCCAUCUUCGCCGCCAUCACGCUGCUCUGGGACCACCCCAACCGGCGCGCGGUCGUCGACCAACUCAGUGUUUGGUGGGCUGCGCGGAGGUGCCGCUGUUGCGGUGGCUCUCGGUGCUGGCGUCAUCGCACGCAAAAGGCGGAUCGACGAGGCCGGCGGGCAACGAUGCCUGACGCGGUUGCCGUCGCAGUGGAUGGCACCAGCGCUACGCCUGUGAGUGCCGCUGCGGCGUCGCCCGGGGCCCCACCUCCAAGCGCUGUGUCGCCCAUUCUGCGAAGCCACGACAAUGGCUCCCCGGCCAACGGCGCCAAUGAGACGGCGGAGGUGGCGGGCACGGGGACGAGUGCGCUGAUGCAAGGCGCACCGCCGCGGGCCAAAGUCAUUGUCCCAGACCCCUCUCGUUCUCCACACAAGGAAUGGGGAGAGGAGCCGGUGGCGUCGAAUGCGACCCCGCUGCCCAUGACCCCGAUUUCAGCUGCUGACGCAAUCGUGGGAGGCGGUGUCGUGGGGUUGACUGGGCCCACGCGGAUGGGUGUUACAGGGGCACAGCAGAGUCAGCAACAGCUGAUGAGUGGUCGGUCUGUGAGCAACCGGACAAACAGUGCCACGCUGCCCGAGAUGAUCUACCCGCCGCCGCGCUGGUGCAAGGCGGAGGUGCUGCGGCGGCGGCAGGAGGAGGACAGCGACGUCGAGGAGGAACGCGGCGCUGUCUACCAGGCCGAGCGGCAGCACUUUGCUGAGCAGACGGCGCUGUCCAUCAGAGCUGCCUCCUCGCGCCGCCACUCACGCCAGCCGACGGGCAGCGACAGCAAGGAAAAGUGCCAAAAAGAGGCUGAGCCGACGGUGGCGUCGUGUGAUGCCGUGCGUCUUGUCGAUCUUCGCAAGGUCUACCGCGCGCCGCGGAAGGUGGCAGUGAGUGCGCUAACGCUCAGCAUCAUGCACGGCGAGGUAUUCGGCUUCCUCGGAACGAACGGUGCGGGCAAGAGCUCCGCCCUAUCCAUCAUCACGCAGGAGCAGCUGCCAACGAGCGGCCGUGCGUAUGUGUGCGGCAACGAUGUGGUGCGCGAGAGCCGCCGCGCUGCUCGGUGUCUUGGGUACUGCCCGCAGCUCGACGCAUGUCUCGACCUGCUCACUGUGACGGAGCACCUGCUUCUCUACGCCAUGGUGCGCGGUGUGCCCGUCGGACAGCUGGAAAGCCUCGUCACGAGCCUCCUGAUCAUCUGCAACCUCACGCAGUACCGUCAUGCCUCCGCUAGGCAGCUCUCCAGCGGCAAUCGGCGCAAGCUGAGUGUGGCCAUCGCGCUGAUCGGCGCACCCAAGGUGUUGUGCCUGGACGAACCAACCUCCGGCAUGGACCCGCUGGCGCGGCAGCUGCUCUGGCGUGCGAUCGACCGCGUCUCUCGCAAAUGCUGCAUCAUUCUCACGACGCACCACCUGGAUGAGGUCGAAGCCCUCGCGGACUGCGUCGGCAUCAUGGUGGACGGUGGUCUACGCUGCUUCGGUGACAUGCCGCACUUGAAGCACAAGUACGCCGGCAAUGCGUAUGAGCUGACGCUGCGCGUGUCGCCGGGGGCGCGUCGGUGCGCGCAGAAGCGCCGCGAAGAGCAGCGUCAGCGCCCCGCGGCGGAGGCUGGUGUCUCACCGGUGGCGGACUGCCAACGGUCAAACGCAAGUACUGCACACGGCCUGAGCAACAAAAACCAGGGCAGCACAAUCAACUCCGCGCUGGGUCGUCGCAUGUCCACCUCCUACGCCGGCAAAGACCUCAUCGACACCUCCGACGACAUCUUUCAGUUCAUGCUCAAGGCAUUCCCAUCGGCGCUGCUCAUCGAAGUCUUCAACAACGAGCGGUACAUCUACACUCUGCCAGCGACCCGCGACGUGGCGGACGCCAUGCAGCAGCUCCUGCAGCAGCAGCGAAGCCAGCGCAGUAUGCAGCUUGUGCAGACGCCGUUAGUCAGCGCGAAGAACUAUGUCGGUCAGCACAGCGCCAUGAACACAGCCAAAAAGUCGCCGCCGAUCGUGCGUCUGUCCGAGGUGUUUGAGACACUCCGGGCCGCGCAGGCGGAGCUGGGUAUCACAGAGUACAGCGUGUCGCAAGUGUCACUCGAGCAGCUGUUCCUGCGCGUGUGUAGCGCCGAGGAAACACUCAAUCAAGACCGCCGCCACAACCGCGCCAGCGCCGCCUCCCCAACUAGUCAGUCUACAACCUUCGUCGUCAACUCAAACACGUGCAGCGGUGUGACCCCUCAUGGCCAUCUACUGCAGCGACAGGGCAGCCGCGCGUCUUUCAUUGCGCGGAGCUCGGCCGCAGCGAUGAGUGAUAGCGGUGCGUCGCCGUCACGGCGUCGGCUGAGUAUGCCGUCAUACGGCAGUCUUCCUGGCGGCACGACGGCGCCACGUGUGACCUUCGCCGAGUACCGCCGUCAACGCGCCUUGUGGCGACUUCGCACUGAGGCCGCUGAGCCGCACCUUACCCCGUCGAAGCAGCAGCGGGUGGCACAGCCGGAUCAUUAGACCACGCCUUGAGACGUAGCGAGGGAGAAAGAGACAGACACGUGUGAUCGGGCUACGGCUGUUGAUACGCACAUGCGGCCGAAAAAAAAUGUGCAUAUGUGUAUACAUGUGUAUAGCAUAUAUAUAUAUAUAUAUAUACAUAUAUGUGUGUGUGUAUAUAUACGUGUGUCUGCCGCGUUACUCUCUCUGUGUAUAGUAUAUAUGUAUAUAUAUAUAUAUAUAUAUAUAUGUAUAUAUGUAUAUGUGUAUAUGCAUGUGUGUGUGUAUGAUGGUGCCCCUCUUUGCCUUUCUUCGCGUGCGGCUUCUCUCUUUCUCUCUCUCUGAGUGUGCGUAUGUGUGUCGCUUUUCUCCGACACGCCUCCUGCGUUCGGCCGCUCUGUUUCCCUUCUGGUUUUUCGAUACCUCUCUUCUGCCCUUUUCCCAGCCAGGACACACAGGGAGGGAAGGGGGACACACACACACACACUUCAUAAUGCGUGGUAUCCCAGGGUCUCCCGUACACCUCCCCUCCCCCCCACACACACACACACAUACAUACAUCGUCUAUGGGGAGCAGCUUGAAGUGCUUACCAGAUAGAGGACUCAGAGCGCCUCAUCGCUGCUGAUGCCGGCGGUGGGAUCCCGGACGGUGCAGCGGGUGGGUGGGCAGAGCUUGGGUCAGGGGCGGUGCUCAGACGACUGGGCCGGCACCCUGCUGUAACGCACGUGCCGGCGGCUGCUUGAGACCAGGCGAUGUGGGGCCUAUGAGACGGGCUGGGGUUGGACGCCGGUUGUAUGGCAAAGAAUGCGCACACGUUGGAGC
rnacentral:misc_RNA from 1 species